UUUUGACAAAAAUGAGAGCAGCUUUUAAUAAUUUAAGUAUAGUUGUAAAGUAUUAUCCUUUUAAGUCAGAGAAAAGAAAACUUCUAGCAGCUUUUAACAAUUAACAAUUUAGUUCACUACCUAAAAAUACCUAUCUGUACCUGUAACUGCCAUUAGAGAAAGUCCAGCUUCACCCUUUAGCUCAGCUCACCAGGCAGAAAACAAACAAAUAAAUAAAUGUGUGUGUGUCUCCCUACCAACUAAUCACCAACCCACACCACCAGCAACCAACCCCCAACCACAACUCAUGCCCAGCUGCCAACUUCCCCUCAACUGCCAUCCCUCACCGUUACCAACUCACAGCCCCACCAACUCAAAUUGGCUCCUUUUACAACCUUUUCCUACCUUACUUCCUGUCUCAGUGGUUCCUCCUUCUUGUCUCUAUGGUUUCUUCUUCCUGUCUCUAUGGUAACUAUUUCCUGUCACUGUGGGCUGGUUAAUCACUACACAUCUCUAUGGUGAGAGGACCUUCAGGUCCCCCAUUAAAGAAAUUAAAGAAUUCCUUUUUACACACAAGAUAACCCAUCAUGAACUUAAAGACAUCUAACUUCUCUAGUAACUGUCUUUUCUCCAUACUAAACUAUAUCUAGUUGUUUUUGUUUUUUUCAGAUACAUCUCCAUGUGGCAAAGCCCAAAGGUACCAAAGAGCAAAGGGUAGACACCAGAAGUUUAAGGUGUUCCUCACAACAACAUUCCCAUUUCUCAGCUGAAGCAAUAUGAAUUUUAAGUAUUCUAGAACCAUCUGAAUAAGAUGAAACAUAUAGGAAUAAACUGCAUAAUGGUGUCCCAAACAACUUCAUUUUACAGUACAUUAAUUUAUCUGUGAUCUUACUGAUGUGGCUGACACUACCCCCUCAAUGCUUUCUCAUCCUAAGUCUAUGUCUUCAACCAAAGAUCUUCCUAGCACGUGUACAAUGGAGACUUUACCCUGUUUUUUGGCAUAGCUUUUAAAAGAAAAUAGUUCAUAGGUACUGAUUAACAACUCCUCUUGGCCAUCUAUCAUCCUUCUCAAUACCUGACUGGCCCAUCCCCUUUUGUUGACAUUGAAGAGGGAAUAAGAAAAAAAUCAUAGGUGUACCUAUAUAAUAUCUGCCUGACCAAUGUAAUACUGCCAUUUUAUCAACUAAUGUGAAGUACUCCAAAAGUCUUAGUGAAAUUUGAAUCUAAUAAACCUUGUCUGAACAUCCUGAAAGUUUGCUUCUAUCUUCUGACCAACCACCUGUGAGGCAAAACAAAUAACAAUCCAAUCUAAUGCUAAAACUCCAGUGACAAGUUAACUCUCUUGAUCAGGCAGACCUUUCUACUGCUCCAUUUGGAAUACUGUACCCGUGAAGCUCAGAACCAAUAAUGUUUUUUCAUAUAAUAUCUAAGACCAAUUAAUGAUGAUAGUUGAAUUGACAAUUCUAUCACCUUCCCAUUUAACAAGCUUUUCAACUUUAUAGUAACUGUAGUUUGAUUUUUUUCCCCUUUAUGCAAUUUACAGUUAUAACACUGAGAGUCAAGCUGCCUUCACUAUUUUGACAGAGGAAAAAAUUAUUGAGCAGAUGAUGUACACAAUUUACAUUCAAACCAAACAUUUGCAUUAUAUAAGACAACGUCAAGAGGAUGAGAACAGUAACAAUCAGCAUGAGAAAGAAAUGAAAAGGAUUUAGGAAAGGCUUCAACCAACAUACUACAUUAAGUCCUUCAGUCAAUGGCCCCCAAAAUUCAUUGGAUGGCAAGUAAAAAUCUAACCCAGUGCCUGAGCCUCAGUGACAUUAAGUCUUCAAUACUUCAAAUUUGCCAUAUUACUACAAUAUCCACAUAGAUAUUGUUCCUAUGGAUAUGGAUUCUUCCAUAAUAUUGUUUUAAUCGAUGUUUUGGUGAAACCAAUUAAAGUUGCUUUGCAGGAGUUAUCCUAUAUUUCCAUCCAAACGUAAAGAGGGCACAUUCAUCAAUUAUUGCUUUCAUGGAUUUGAUUCUCUAGAUAAGAAGUUUGCAGGGAGACAGAGGCAUACAAAGGCCAAGAAAAUAUGCAUCACAACUUUUUUCUUAGUAAAAAUUAAAUUGUCAUAAUGGCUUUCAGAAUUACAUAAGACAGUUAUGAGUCCACUAAAUCUUUCAUGGUAAUGGAAAAGCAAGGGCACUAGUCAUGAAUAAUUUACUAUAUGCUUAAGCUUCGUAUUAGAGGACUCCCACAGCAAGAAUCAUAUGCAGUAGGUUACUUAUAAGAGAUGAUUCUCACUAACUUAGCCAUUAUUAGUUGGCACUUACUUUGGAAGUUUAGGAGGGAGAAAAGAAGGGGACAGGCACAAGAGCAAGACAAGGUGACACCAGUAAAACUCUAAAACUAAAAUGAAAGACAAAGAGGAUGUCAAGUGACCAUUAAGGACUGAGAGAACUGAAUUUAUCAUAAGAUAUCAUUACCUAGCCCUUACCACUCUUCUGCCUUAGAAGUAACACUUAAUAUUGAUUCUAAGCCAGAAAAUUAGGAUUUAUUUUUUAAAAUUAACCCCAAAACCCCAUAAGAUAUCUAGAUAUAACUAGUUAUCUCAGCUAUCAUCUAGUGAAAAAGGCAGUCUGGUAAAAUGGAUAGAAUACUAGCUCUGCAAACAGAAGAACUGGGCUCAAAUCCUAGCUUUGCUCCUUGUUACCUGACAGGGGACAACAAGUCUUUUCACUUCCUGGACCUAGCUUUCUUUAUGAAAUAAGAGGGUUGAACUAGGUAACUUUUAAGUUAGUCAGUCAACAAACACUUAUUAAGUAAGCACUUGCUAUGUGCUAGGUACUAUGGUAACUGUUGAUCCUUCUAGCUCUAAAGCUAUGGUCCAUCUACCCUAACCCAACCCUUUCACUUACAGAGAAGGAAACUGAGACUGGAGGAGGCAAGUGAUUUGCCCCCAGGUUACAGAGGUAUCAAGAGGCAGAGCUGAAGUUUGAACCCAAAUCCUCUGGACAACAAUAUAGUGCUAUUUCCACUCUUAUCAUGCUUACUCUUUAGAAGCAAGAUCAGAGCCAAUUGAUACAUUUAACAUCAAUACAUUAGAAAAACUCAUGAGCUAGAUGCAUACAGUAUAAUAUCAGAGAACGGGUAUGAGAGAUUAGAAAAGAGAAAGAUCACUUCUUAAUGGGGCUGAAAAAGAUCAGAAAUACUUUCAUGGGGCGGUGAAACUUUUUUACAAGAUAAUUUUGAAAGAUAGGGCACUGGUAGAUGGGAGAGAUCAGGAAAGGAUUCAUUAAGGUAGAUGGAAGUUCUUAGAUACAUAUAUAAGUAUCUCCUGCCAAGGACUUUUUAGAUGUCUUAAAUUUCAUACGUUUCCUCCCUGCUAUUUUAGUGACAGUAGAUAUCCCUCUGCACUAGUCUGUCUUGACUCUACUUACAAUAGAGGACCCAUCCAUAAGAAAUACAGAAUAUGAACUUUACUUUGGAGCUUCUAUAAGAUAUAUGCAAAAGUGACAAGAGUGAUUAUCAAGUUAAAUGGCAAGUACCAACAAGCUGGGUACAUUCAGGAGAGCAACCUAGAAGAUUCAAGAAAUUGGGCAUAGGUAAUCUGGACAAAAAAAGAUAUAUGUGUGUUGGAGUAGGGGAGAGAAGGGAGAGACAAAUUAGUUGUCAAGCCUUUGAAGGGGAGUAAUUCAACAAAAGAAUAAGCUGCUUUUGGAGAUGAGUUCUUAUCACUAGGGGUAUUCAAACACAAACUGGAUGACAACCUGUUGGUGAUGCUCUUGAGAUGAUUGUUUCACACCUCAGUUCAGAUAUAUACUCUAUAAUAUCUGGAUUAUUCUCCCAUUCUUCCCCCAUUCUCAUUCUGCUUUCCUUAAGUAUCCAUGCUUUUUUGUUCAUGCCAUUUCCCAUAAAUGAGUCAGUUAAUAAGCACAUAAUAUAUAUAUAUAUAAAGCACUCUCACUAUGUGUAAGAUUAAAAAUUAAUCUCCAAAUACUUCAAGUAUUAUAUUCUUAUAAAGAUGUAUUAAUUAAUAACUUGAAGAAAAAGGAAAAUGAUAGUGUUAGCAAAGAGAGAGUUGCCCAAAUGGCCAAAAGCAGGAAGAGAGCCAGGAGGAGAGUUCAGGAAGAAGAGUUAAAAGGUGGGGUUACAGCAAACUUUUAUGUACAAUACAUAGUAAGGAUGCUACAUGGACAAAGGGAAAAGGACUCUGGGAGAUGAAGUCCAAGGGUUCAAGGUUUUUAAUUACACAUAUGGCACUGUGCUUUGUUGUAAAUACAAAAACAAAAAAAGUCAUUCUAAAGAGAAAGACAACAUGUAAAUAACUAAAUACAUUCAAGAUAGUUACAGAGUAAAUGAAAGGUAAUUUCAAAGAAGGUACUAGUAGCUAGAGACAUGAGAAAAAGCUUUAUGUGGAAGAUGGGAUUUGAAAUUAGUCUUGAAGGAAGCCAGGAAAGCUAGGAGGCAAAGAGGAAGAAGGAAUGCAUUCAGGCAUGGGUAACAGUCAGUGCAAGAGAAGGAGGAAAUGUCACAUGGAAGAACAUUAAAUAGGCCAGUGUAGCUAGAUCAAAGCACAUGAAGGGGAGGAAAGUGCAAAAAUAUUGUAGCAGUAGGAAGUCAAUAGGUUAAAGAUCUUUAAACACCAAAAAGAACUUUAUAUAUAAAUAUAUAUGUAGAUAUAUUUAUCCUGAAGGUUUAUUCAAUAAUACUGAGCCCUUGGAGUUUAUUGAAUAAGAGGAUAAAAUGGUCAGACCUAAGCUUUAGAAAAAAAAAAUCAAAUUGGCACCUGAGUGGAAGAGCAAUUAAGAGUGGAGAGAGUUGAGGCAAGGAAACCAGUUAGAUGUCUGGGAAAAAAGGUGAUGAGGACAUGAACAAGGGGGGACUAAUGUAUAUAGAUGGAGAGCAAGUGAUAGAUGAGGCACAUUUUGAAAGUAGAAAUGUUAAAAUUUGGCAAGGGUUUGGAUAUAUGAAACGAGAGUAAGGAAAUCAAGGAUAACAUAGAGUUUAUAAGCCUGGAUAAUUGGGAGGAUGAUGGUACUCAUUAAUAAUAGAGAAGUUUGGAAGAGGGGAGGAAUUAUAGGGAAAAGAAAACUAAUAAUCCUUGUUUUGGCUGUGGUGAAUGUGAGCUGCCAAUGGGACAUGCAGUUUGAGAAAUACAAAAGACAUUAGUAAUCUGGGAUGAGAGAGGGAGAUAGAGGAAGAGAAAAAGUAAAGGUGAGAGACAGAGGAGAGGGAGAAAGAGAGAAACUGAGAGGAGAGAGAAUAUGAAUUUAUAGUAUUAUAAUAUCCUUCUGUCUCCAUCUCUUCCUAUUCUAGUUAUUUUCCUAAAGUAUAAGUUUGAUCCUAUUAUUCCCCCAUUCAAUAAAUUUAAAUGGCUUAAUUACCUAUAGGAUAAAAUGUAAUCUCUUCUGUUUAGCUUUUAAAGUCCUUUAGAAGUUAUUCCAGCCUGGAGGCAACUGGGUAGCUCAGUGGAUUGAGAACCAGGCCUAGAGAUGGGAGGUCCUAGAUUCAAAUUUGACCUCAGACACUUCCUAAUACACAAUAUUAAUUCCAAGACAUAAUUUAAGGGUUAAAAAAAAAAGGAAGUUAUUCCAACCUAUUUUUCUUGUCUCAUUAUAUAUUACUUCCACUCCUGUCUAAACACUGUGAUCUAGCCAAAGUGGUCUCUCCCAACAUAGUACAGUACCAUCCAUCUCAAAGCCUUAACACCCACUCUCCUUCAUACCUAAUAUGUACUCCCUCCUCAUUUUGUUUUAUAGAACUGUUCCUUCAUAAUUUACAAGAAUCGCCAUCUAUUUGAAAGAAGUCUUUCCUGAUCCCUCCCAACUCUAGUGCCUUCCCUUUCAAACCACUUUGUAAUUUAUUAUUUUAUAGUUGUUCUCUUUAUAUUUAUUCCAUAUAUUCAUACAUGUGCCUAUUUUACAUACAUACAUAUAUACUGUCUCUCCAAAAGAGGGGGAGACACACACAUAUACACACACUCUCUCUAAGGCCAGAUAUAGAUAUAUCUUCAGAGACAUAAAUUCACCUGUGUUCAUGAGAUCACUCAGUGGGAUAAUGUAAGGUCCCAGAACAGAGUCAAUUGUUAACCCACUGUUAGAAAUUGUGAUAUGAAGAACCAGCAAAGGUGACAGAGAAAGAAAGUCAGAGCAAUAUGGCAAAAACCCAGAAGAAAGUGGGAAUUCAGGAAGAGGUGAUCCACAGUUAUUAGCUGCUGCAAGAAAAUCAACAAGAUGAGGAUUGAUUUAAAAGCCACUAGAUUUGGCAUGAGCUCUCAAACCUCAGGGAGAGUAUGAUGGGAGAUGAUCUGUGUGCUCCCUUCCUAAUUCUAAGAUGCUACAAAUUUAAGAAUUUAAAGUGAUAUAGGAGAAUAAACAAAUCCAGAGAAGAGAGUGCUAAUAAGCAGCAGAGUCAAUAUUCAAACAGAUUCUACUUCCUAGAGCCCAUAUCUAUAAUUUAAAAAAAAAAAAGUUAAACCAAUUUCUUUUUCUCUACUAUUCUGUGAUCUCUAGCUUUUGGCAAAGCUCUUACUAUUCUAGUUAUUCUAAUUCCCUAAAACUCUUUAUAAAAAAUUUUCUGAAUUUAUAUAGGAGGAGUACAUUUUGCCAUUAUUUGGCACCAACAAGCAUAUCAUCUUGCCAUGCUGGCUGUAACCUUUACCAAGCAAAGUCCUGGCAUGUAGUACUCAGUACCUGGUACUUUCCCAUAUUUUACUUGGUCACUUACAAUCUAAUCAAACUCACUCUUUUUGCUGAUGAAGAAAAGGACCCAAAGAGAAAAGGCCCCAAGAUUGCCCAAGUUAGUGGCAGAGCCAGAACUCAAAGCUGUCUUGAAGCCAAGUCCAGUUCCAUUGCCACUAUAACAUGCUUCUUUGUAUGUGUCUGAUUACACAUUUAUUCUGUGUCACACAUAUUAGAUCACACACAUUAGAUAUACAGAGAACACAGAAGAGAUGUCUUAGCUACAAGCCUCAAGUUCCCUUGUAAUACUAAUAUCUUUAAACCACUUAACAUAAAAAAUUAACUACCCUUUUUAAUAAAAAUUAAGUUCCUAUCUUUUUUUUUUAAUGUUUCACUGAAAAAGUUUUUGAGGUUGUAACCCUAAUCUGAUUUCUACCAUAGGCUCUGUAGAAUGAGGGCAACUAGAUAGCACAGUAAAUAAAGUGCCAGACUGGGAUCUGGAUUCAAAUCCGACCUCAGACACUUCCUAGCUAUGUCACUCAACUCUGAUUGCCUAGCCCUUGAAGCUCUUCUGUCUUGGAACUGAGAGUAAGAUGGAAAAAUAAAGAGUUUUAAUAAUAAUAGUAAGUUUAAAAAAAAGUAUUGUAGAAUGAAUGAAAUUCACUGGAAAGUUUGCACUACAAAUGUACUCCUCCAGGAUCAACAUUUUCUUUCUGAUUCUUUUAAUUAUUAUCCAACAACAAUUACUAGGUAUCUAUGUGCAAGGAAGGCCCUGGGGAUACAAAGACAAAAAAUUGUAAUUGCUUCAUUUUCUACUAGUUUUCUAUCCAUGUGAUCUUGAACAAGUCACUUGAUAUCACUUUGGUUUAUCAAAAUAAGGGGUUAAACCAGAAGAUCUUUAAGUUCCCUUUCUGCUUUAAUUCCACCCUCACUGCCAAUGUUCUAUAGUUUAACUCCCUUGAAAGUUCAACAGCCUUUCUCUAACUCUCUAGUUAGGGCUUGCUGCCACCGAGUGGAUUAAGAAGGCUCUAACACCAAAGAAUGACAAGGCCUAGGACUGUACUACUCAGGCAAAUCCACCAGAUGGAGACUUAAAAAUAUAAAUUGGGAAACAAGGCUGCCUACAUUUGAAAGUCAAGUGGUCAUAGGGUCACAGAAUUUGGGACUACAAAGAACCUUGUUUUAUAGUUAAAAAAACUGAACCCCACAGCUAAUAAGUAUCAGGAUCCAGGAUUCAAAAUUUGAACUUCUAUCACCAAAUUGAGAACCCUUUCACCACAGUACCAUGGAAAUACCUUGUAAUAAGACCAUUUUCUUCUCUCUGCUAGAUUCCAGUUGUGUAGCUUUCAAAAAUCAGGUAAUUUAUGCCACUGCAUUUAUCUGAAGAGGAUGGCUUUAAUUUAGUGUUUUCCUCCACACAUUAACCAUUUUAUUUCUUUUUUUGUAAGGUCUACUCUAUGUAGGCAGAAGGUAAAAAUACCUGUACUAUAUGCUCAGGAGGUAAUAUGCAGCUAAUUAAACUUAUGCAACCAAUUAAGAAUUAAAUUUGAAUGGUUAAUUACAGCUAAAUUUUCAUAAAAUUAAGACUGAUAAAGCAUUUUCCUUACAGAAAGCCUAUGAGGUUGAUAAUACAGAUAUUUAAAAACCAGGUAAAUUGGCAUAGCAUUAAAGAUUAAAGCAAUAAAAAUUAUCAGCAUUCUAGUUCAGUAGUGUUAAACAAAUAGAAAUAGGAGCCACUAAAUUCUGAAUAAGGAUCCUUACAGGUAACGUAUUGACUUAG